CAACUAGUCGUUCGUGGUCGGGCAACCGGUCCACGAUGUAAGCUCACUAGUCACCCUUGAAUAAACUACCUUUGUUGCUUUGGCGGGCCGCCGCAAGGCCAGCGGCUCCGGCUCUUGAGUGCCUGCCAGAGGACCACAACUCUUGUUUUUAGUGAUGUCUGAGUACUAUAUAAUAGUUAAAACUUUCAACAACGGAUCUCUUGGUUCU
rnacentral:misc_RNA from 1 species